GCAACACGUGGAUAACCUACCUAUAAGACUGGGAUAACUUCGGGAAACCGUAGCUAAUACCGGAUAAUAUUUUGAACCGCAUGGUUCAAAAGUGAAAGACGGUCUUGCUGUCACUUAUAGAUGGAUCCGCGCUGCAUUAGCUAGUUGGUAAGGUAACGGCUUACCAAGGCAACGAUGCAUAGCCGACCUGAGAGGGUGAUCGGCCACACUGGAACUGAGACACGGUCCAG
rnacentral:rRNA from 1 species